CCCUUAGAUGUCCUGGGCCGCACGCGCGCUACACUGAUGCAUUCAACGAGUGUACCUUGGCCGAGAGGCCUGGGCAAUCUUUUGAACGUGCAUCGUGAUAGGGAUAGAUUAUUGCAAUUAUUAAUCUUGAACGAGGAAUUCCUAGUAAACGCAGAUCAUCAAUCUGCAUUGAUUACGUCCCUGCCCUUUGUACACACCGCCCGUCGCACCUACCGAUUGGAUGGUCCGGUGAAGCCUCGGGAUUGUGGCGGUUGCCUUUAUUGGUGGCCGCCGCGAGAACUUGUCUAAACCUUAUCAUCUAGAGGAAGGUGAAGUCGUANCA
rnacentral:rRNA from 1 species